GUCCACGCCCUAAACGAUGAUGACUAGUUGUUGGAGGAGUUAAAUCCUUUAGUAACGCAGCUAACGCGAGAAGUCAUCCGCCUGGGGGAGUACGGUCGCAAGAUUAAAAACUCAAAGGAAUUGACGGGGGCCCGCACAAGCGGUGGAUGAUGUGGUUUAAUUCGACGCAACGCGAAAAACCUUACCUACCCUUGACAUGUACGGAACCUCAUAGAGAUGUGAGGGUGCCCGAAAGGGAGCCGUAACACAGGUGCUGCAUGGCUGUCGU
rnacentral:rRNA from 1 species